CAGCAGGGAAUCUUGGGCAAUGGGCGAAAGCCUGACCCAGCGACGUCGCGUGGGGGACGAAGGCCUUCGGGUUGUAAACCCCUUUUCCGAGGGAAGAGAAAGGACGGUACCUCGGGAAUAAGCCCCGGCUAACUACGUGCCAGCAGCCGCGGUAAUACGUAGGGGGCAAGCGUUACCCGGAAUCACUGGGCGUAAAGUGCGCGUAGGCGGUUGGAUAAGUCUCUUGUGAAAGCUCCCGGCUCAACUGGGAGAGGUCAAGGGAUACUAUUCGACUUGAGGACAGCAGAGGUAAG
rnacentral:rRNA from 1 species